GUAUUACUCCCUCCGUUCGGAAAUACUUGUCAUUGAAAUGGAUGUAUCUAGAUGUAUUUUAGUUCUAGAUACAUCCAUUUUGAUGACAAGUAAUUCCGAACGGAGGGAGUACAUG
rnacentral:pre_miRNA from 1 species